rnacentral:rRNA from 1 species
UACGGGGGGAGCAAGCGUUGUUCGGAUUUACUGGGCGUAAAGGGCGCGUAGGCGGCCACCGCAAGUCGACUGUGAAAUCUCCGGGCUUAACCCGGAAAGGUCAACUGAUACUGUGCGACUAGAGUGCGGAAGGGGCAACUGGAAUUCUCGGUGUAGCGGUGAAAUGCGUAGAUAUCGAGAGGAACACCUGCGGCGAAGGCGGGUUGCUGGGCUGACACUGACGCUGAGGCGCGAAAGCUAGGGGAGCGAACGGG